rnacentral:tRNA from 1 species
GCCUGGGUGGCUCAGUUGGUUGAGCAUCUGACUUUGGCUCAGGUCAUGAGCUCAUGUGAGUUCUAGCCCCAUGUUGGGCU